UCCGCUCUCUGGCCGGGCUUGGGCUGCGUGGAGAAUACUUUUUGCGAUGCCUACUGGAGACUUUGAUUCGAAGCCCAGUUGGGCCGACCAGGUGGAGGAGGAGGGGGAAGACGACAAAUGUGUCACCAGCGAGCUCCUCACGGGGAUCCCUCUGGCCACAGGUGACACCAGCCCAGAGCCAGAGCUACUGCCGGGAGGUGAGUGAGGAUGGCCACUCCGUGUCCGGGCUGCCUCUCCCUCCAGCCCUGCCGCUCCUGAUCCCCAUGACCCAGGGCUCAGUCCUUCUCUGUUUUUCCCCUUCUCCCAGCUCCACUGCCGCCUCCCAAGGAGGUCAUCAACGGAAACAUAAAGACAGUGACAGAGUACAAGAUAGAUGAGGAUGGCAAGAAGUUCAAGAUUGUCCGCACCUUCAGGAUUGAGACCCGGAAGGCUUCCAAGGCUGUCGCAAGGAGGAAGAACUGGAAGAAGUUUGGGAACUCAGAGUUUGACCCCCCCGGACCCAAUGUGGCCACCACCACUGUCAGUGACGAUGUCUCUAUGACGUUCAUCACCAGCAAAGAGGACCUGAACUGCCAGGAGGAGGAGGACCCCAUGAACAAACUCAAGGGCCAGAAGAUCGUGUCCUGCCGCAUCUGCAAGGGUGACCACUGGACCACCCGCUGCCCCUACAAGGACACGCUGGGGCCCAUGCAGAAGGAGCUGGCUGAGCAGCUGGGCCUGUCUACCGGCGAGAAGGAGAAGCUGCCGGGAGGUGCGGGGCUGGGGAUGGGGGCUGCCGUUGCGGGGGCGGGAGGGUCCUGCUGUCAGUGCACGGGUUCUGUCCCCAGUCCCCACUGCUGCCUUUGUGCUGUCAUCUCCAGCACAACAGCGCAGCGGGUUUGAUGGUGCCAGACUCUCCUCGGGGCGUCUGUGCCUUCCUAAUUGGCUGUACCUCCUAUGGUUGGGAGACGGGUGUCUCCCAUAUAUGUGCGACUUGGCAGCUGUGACUUUGCUGGUGGCCCUGUGACUGUGCUGAUGAGCUGCUGUCUGUCGGCCCCAGGGUGCUGAUCACCCCACCUUGUGUGUGCGCACUGUGUGUAUAGUGUCUCCGUUGCAUGCCUGUGGCUGUACUGUCCGAAUUAUUUGGUGGGAUUUUCUGGUGGCGAAUGUGAGAGUGGAGACGUGCACUUGUCGCCUACCAUGCAAGUGGGACCUGGGCACUGUUCCUGUCGUGUGUCCCAUGCCUGCCGUUGCUGUGGAUGUGAGGCUGCUGUCCCUGUUGCCCUCCUGCCCUCUCUGGAGUGGGGUUGGGGCUCCUCCUCCUCCACCAGUGUCGCCGGCUGGGAGCUCAAAUGGUGUCAACUUCUCAGGUGUCACCUUGGUGUCCUCGUGGCCAACUGGCUGCCUGUGGCUUGGCACAUAGUGCCUGCGCUGGGUCAGCACUGAAGCCUGAGCUUCCUGGGGCGGCUCUGUCCCCACGCCCGCCAGAGUGAGGUUGAACUCGACUGUCUUUUGAUCCCCAGAGCUAGAGCCAGUGCAGGCCACGCA
rnacentral:sRNA from 1 species